AGAGAGAGAGAAAGAGAGAGAGAGAGAGAGAGAGAGAGAGAGAGAGAGAGAGGAAUCGUGUCCGCGCGCGCGUACUAGCGGGCGCACGCGGGAAAUGCAACGGAGCCGGCUACUAUUAUACAGACGUGACCCUUGUCCUUCAAACGGCCUUUCUACGAGCGUACGGCAGCUCGACUGGGUGUAGGUACGCCAUACGUGUCGCAUACCUAACGAACGCGCGUACCAUGCGACGAGAAAGCCGGCCACCGACGCACCCGUCGUUGACGACGACGUCGUCGUCGUUUCGACGUAUACUACGUUUAUUCUAUAUUACAUAGGUACGUUGUACACCUACGUACGUACACAUGUAUGUAUGUAUAUAUGCGAUGAUCGCCCGAGCGCAACGACCGGCUGCCGGUUCGACAUAACCUACGAUUCUUCUAUACCAGUAACGUAAUCACCGAACCACGAACCACGUCCCUUUUAUCUUUCUCAAGAAAUAUUUAUUUUAAUGGGAAAAUGUCUAUCGAAUAUUUUUCUUUUUUUCUUUUUUUCUUUUUUCCUUUUCUUUUUUUUCCUCUCUUUUUUCUUUUCUUUUUUUUUACGAUCGAACGAACGGUUUACAUCGUGCGAGUCUUAAUCGUUGGUCGUAUAAUUAUUGUAGAUAUAGGUAUACGACGAGAGGACAGAAGCGAUUGACGAAUCGAAAUCGGAUAUAAGUAAGUUAUAUCUGAAAAAUAUUUUCUCCGAUUGUCUUUCUAGAUCUUUUUUAUUUAUUUAUUUUAUUUGAAUUAUUUUUUAUUUAUUUCUUCCUUCUUUAUAUUUUCAUUUAUUUUAUUUCUUUCCUUUUUUAAGUAAAAUUUUUUACAGAGGAAAAAUAUACAAGAGGGAUCUCGAGUUAUGCGAACAGUGAGUACACAUAUAUCCGGACGGUCGGUCCAUCGGUGAGAGUACGCGACGAUUAAAAAUACGCAACGCGCAGCACGCGCCUGAAUAGCGUGGUGCCGGCGAACGACGUAUGCGUACACGUUGGGUAUGCGUAUGUAUGUAUACGCGUGUGAUCGUGCGUGCGUGCGUGCGCGUAUGUGUGUCUCUCGUUAAAUAGACGAGUGUUCAGCGAUACGAGUAUACCGAAGACGACGAAGACGAAAACGAAGACGACGGAGUUUAGAGGAACGUUGUUUGUCCGUGAUAAGAGGACAAACCGUACUCGGCUAGUGGCGCCUGUAUCGUAGCCAGUGACGGAUCGGGUGAGCUUGAGGCACGGUGCCACGCGUGCCAUCGAGCUCCAAAAAUUGAUUGCCAUCCCAUUAUGUGUUGCGCUUUCGAUUCCUCGCGUAACUUCAUUGCGACGUGUGUGGUCCCCGAUUACGUGGGGAUUGUGGAUAGGGAGGGAAAGGACAGGGAUCAUUUUCGUCGUGACCUUCGCACAUUAUAACGAAGAAAACCAAAGAGAAAUUUUACGAACAAGUUCGUAUGUCCGUCGCGCUGUUUACCUUGAAGUUCCCCUCCUGAAGGUCCGCAAGAAGAAGAAGAAGAAGAAGAAAAAGAAGAACUUUCAGAAGAGAUAUCCACCAUAUCGGCUUCUAAUGCAUCUUAGCGAAGUGAGACGUACAAAUGACGACGACGAUUAUGAACCAAUCGAUUGAAAUUGUAAUAUCGAAGGAUUGAAAUAACUCUAGCUUCGUCAAAGAUAAAAAUUACACGGAACGGGAGGAAUAAACUCUUAUAUCGUAGUUUCUGCGGUAUAGCUGCGAUCGAUGAUAGACAUAGGAAAUAAAAAAAAAGAAAAGAAAAAAAAAAGAAAAAAAAAAAGAAGAAGGAAAGAGAGAGGGAGCGAGAGAGAAACAGGAAAAUGAAACUUUUAUCCCCUUCGCUUUUGAUCUAUAAAUUGCUGUUUUGAUCUAUAGAUCGCUGUCUCUACUGAGCGACAGGUGAAUCGACGAUGCAUUCGUCGACGUCUUUCACGAAUAUCUUAUCCUCUUCUAUCCGGCAACAUGCAUAUAUUAUAUGAAGGAAAAAAAAACGACAAAAAAUAAAAAAGAAGAAGGUAAAAAAAAGGAGAAGAAGAAGAAAUAAACACGACCAAAGCCGUAAAAUGUUUCUUAAUUUUUCUCUUUCUCUCUUGCUAGCUAUCUCGAAAAAUUAUUCCACGUGCUUUUACACGCUUAUUCUCACCGAAAGUACGUCUUAUUGUUAAUAAACAAUAUAUAUAUAUAUAUAUAAAGUGAAUGAUAUAUGUGAGUAUAUGUGUCUA